rnacentral:lncRNA from 1 species
UCAAAAGUAAUGAUAACCAUAUCAUAAAACAACAAAUAGUGAAUAGAAAGUAUAUCAAAAGGCGUACAUAGCUGAAUCCCUAAGCUACCCAUAUCAACAAAAAAACAAAAAGAAAAAAGAAGGUAAGACUCCGAGCAGUAAUCUAAAAAACUGCAUGUAUAGCCGCAUGUUGUACCAUAACCCCAAAUCUAUCUAAGUGGAUACCUUGAAAAGGUUCUCCUCGAUCUUCGCAUCCUCAACAGUUGCAAAUGUCGCUCCCUAGUCGAUAGUACGAGCUGGCGAAAGGAACCCGAUCAUAGUUAUAGUGUCAAAAGGAGGGUAUGCAAAGUUUGGAAGCACACUCCUCGGAGAUUACAAACGAAUUAUUCGAUGUUAAGA